GAUGAACGCUGACAGAAUGCUUAACACAUGCAAGUCAACUUGAACUUCGGUUUGGGUGGCGGACGGGUGAGUAACGCGUAAAGAACUUGCCUCACAGUUAGGGACAACAUUUGGAAACGAAUGCUAAUACCUGAUAUUAUGAUUUUAGGGCAUCCUAGAAUUAUGAAAGCUAUAUGCGCUGUGAGAGAGCUUUGCGUCCCAUUAGCUAGUUGGAGAGGUAACGGCUCACCAAGGCGAUGAUGGGUAGCCGGCCUGAGAGGGUGAACGUCCACAAGGGGACUGAGACACGGCCCUUACUCCUACGGGAGGCAGCAGUGGGGAAUAUUGGACAAUGGACCAAGAGUCUGAUCCAGCAAUUCUGUGUGCACGAUGAAGUUUUUCGGAAUGUAAAGUGCUUUCAGUUGGGAAGAAAAAAAUGACGAUACCAACAGAAGAAGUGACGGCUAAAUACGUG
rnacentral:rRNA from 1 species